UACGUAGGGGGCUAGCGUUGUCCGGAAUCAUUGGGCGUAAAGAGCGUGUAGGCGGUCCGGUAAGUCCGCUGUGAAAGUCGGGGGCUCAACCCUCGAAUGCCGGUGGAUACUGUCGGGCUAGGAGUGCGGAAGAGGCGAGUGGAAUUCCUGGUGUAGCGGUGAAAUGCGUAGAUAUCAGGAGGAACACCUGCGGUGUAGACGGCUUUCUGGACCGUAACUGACGCUGAGACACGAAAGCGUGGGUAGCAAACAGG
rnacentral:rRNA from 1 species